CACGUAGGGCGCGAGCGUUGUCCGGAAUUAUUGGGCGUAAAGAGCUCGUAGGCGGCCUGUUGCGUCCGCUGUGAAAGCCCGGGGCUUAACCCCGGGUCGGCAGUGGGUACGGGCAGACUAGAGUGCGGUAGGGGAGAUUGGAAUUCCUGGUGUAGCGGUGGAAUGCGCAGAUAUCAGGAGGAACACCAAGGGCGAAGGCAGAUCUCUGGGCCGUAACUGACGCUGAGGAGCGAAAGCAUGGGGAGCGAACAGG
rnacentral:rRNA from 1 species